UAGGGAAUCUUGCGCAAUGGGCGAAAGCCUGACGCAGCAACGCCGCGUGCGGGAUGACGGCCUUCGUGGUUGUAAACCGCUUUCAGCAGGGACGAAAUUGACGGUACCUGCAGAAGAAGCCCCGGCUAACUACGUGCCAGCAGCCGCGGUAAUACGUAGGGGGCGAGCGUUGUCCGGAAUCAUUGGGCGUCAAGAGCUCGUAGGCGGUUCAGUAAGUCGGGUGUGAAAGCUCCGAGCUCAACUCGGAGAGGCCACUCGAUACUGCUGUGACUAGAAUCCAGUAGGGGAGUGUGGAACUCCUGGUGUAGCGGUGAAAUGCGCAGAUAUCAGGAAGAACACCAGCGGCGAAGGCGGCACUCUGGGCUGGUAUUGACGCUGAGGAGCGAAAGUGUGGGUAGCAAACA
rnacentral:rRNA from 1 species